rnacentral:rRNA from 1 species
GACGUAGGGCGCGAGCGUUGUCCGGAUUUAUUGGGCGUAAAGAGCUCGUAGGCGGCUCGUUGCGUCGGCUGAACCUGAACCGCAGCUCAACUGUGGGCUUGCAGCUGAUACGGGCGGGCUGGAGUUCGGUAGGGGAGACUGGAAUUCCUGGUGUAGCGGUGAAAUGCGCAGAUAUCAGGAGGAACACCGGUGGCGAAGGCGGGGUCUCUGGGCCGAUACUGACGCUGAGGAGCGAAAGCGUGGGGAGCGAACAGG